UGGCUCAGUUGGUAGAGCAUGGUGUUUGCAACGCCAGGGUUGUGGGUUUGACUCCCAC
rfam:Salmo salar isolate Sally breed double haploid chromosome ssa17, whole genome shotgun sequence.